GCUGUUAAGGGUUCGUAGUUGAGUUUAGGGUGUAGAGAUUUUGCUGCAUGUCAGCUCUUCUCUGCAUCCUGUACAGACGGGGACGGAGUCAGUCAGUGGGUUUACUCAUUGACAGCUGUUCUAUGAUAUGGCUUAUCUCAUGCAACGCAUGAACAGACCGCCCGUCAUAAUCACUGUGAGAAAACAGCGUGUUCAAGGCAGCCGCUAGCGGCCGAAUGAUAAAGCAUGGAAUGACAAGUAACGACCAUUGGGUCUUCCUUAUGUCGGUUUUUACGACCCAUCAUGGGUAAUUGGUUUUUGAAGUGCUCCGGAUUCCAUAUGGAAGAAGGAACUUCAUUGAACACGGGAUCAAUGGGGGUUGUCGGGGGAAACGUAUUUGAACGUGAGAGGUGAAAUUCUUAGACCGUUCGAGGCGAACUUAUGCGAAGGCAUUUUCCAAGUAUACCUUCCUCAAUCAAGAACCAAAGUG
rnacentral:rRNA from 1 species